UACGUAGGGUGCAAGCGUUGUCCGGAAUUAUUGGGCGUAAAGAGCUCGUAGGCGGUUUGUUGCGUCGGCUGUGAAAUCCCGAGGCUCAACCUCGGGUCUGCAGUCGAUACGAGCAAACUAGAGUGUUGCAGGGGAGACUGGAAUUCCUGGUGUAGCGGUGAAAUGCGCAGAUAUCAGGAGGAACACCGGUGGCGAAGGCGGCUAUCUGGCCCGUAAUUGACGCUGAGGCGCGAAAGCGUGGGGAGCAAACAGG
rnacentral:rRNA from 1 species